rnacentral:rRNA from 1 species
GACGAACGCUGGCGGCGUGCUUAACACAUGCAAGUCGAACGGAAAGGCCCUGCUUUUGUGGGGUGCUCGAGUGGCGAACGGGUGAGUAACACGUGAGUAACCUGCCCUUGACUUUGGGAUAACUUCAGGAAACUGGGGCUAAUACCGGAUAGGAGCUCCUGCUGCAUGGUGGGGGUUGGAAAGUUUCGGCGGUUGGGGAUGGACUCGCGGCUUAUCAGCUUGUUGGUGGGGUAGUGGCUUACCAAGGCUUUGACGGGUAGCCGGCCUGAGAGGGUGACCGGCCACAUUGGGACUGAGAUACGGCCCAGACUCCUACGGGAGGCAGCAGUGGGGAAUAUUGCACAACGGGCGGAAGCCUGAUGCAGCAACGCCGCGUGCGGGAUGACGGCCUUCGGGUUGUAAACCGCUUUCGCCUGUGACGAAGCGUGAGUGACGGUAAUGGGUAAAGAAGCGCCGGCUAACUACGUGCCAGCAGCCGCGGUGAUACGUAGGGUGCGAGCGUUGUCCGGAUUUAUUGGGCGUAAAGGGCUCGUAGGUGGUUGAUCGCGUCGGAAGUGUAAUCUUGGGGCUUAACCCUGAGCGUGCUUUCGAUACGGGUUGACUUGAGGAAGGUAGGGGAGAAUGGAAUUCCUGGUGGAGCGGUGGAAUGCGCAGAUAUCAGGAGGAACACCAGUGGCGAAGGCGGUUCUCUGGGCCUUUCCUGACGCUGAGGAGCGAAAGCGUGGGGAGCGAACAGGCUUAGAUACCCUGGUAGUCCACGCUGUAAACGGUGGGUACUAGGUGUGGGGUCCAUUCCACGGGUUCCGUGCCGUAGCUAACGCUUUAAGUACCCCGCCUGGGGAGUACGGCCGCAAGGCUAAAACUCAAAGGAAUUGACGGGGCCCCGCACAAGCGGCGGAGCAUGCGGAUUAAUUCGAUGCAACGCGUAGAACCUUACCUGGGUUUGACAUGGAUCGGGAGUGCUCAGAGAUGGGUGUGCCUCUUUUGGGGUCGGUUCACAAGUGGUGCAUGGCUGUCGUCCGCUCGUGUCGUGAGAUGUUGGGUUAAGUCCCGCAACGAGCGCAACCCUUGUUCACUGUUGCCAGCACGUUAUGGUGGGGACUCAGUGGAGACCGCCGGGGUCAACUCGGAGGAAGGUGGGGAUGACGUCAAGUCAUCAUGCCCCUUAUGUCCAGGGCUUCACGCAUGCUACAAUGGCUGGUACAGAGAGUGGCGAGCCUGUGAGGGUGAGCGAAUCUCGGAAAGCCGGUCUCAGCUCGGAUUGGGGUCUGCAACUCGACCUCAUGAAGUCGGAGUCGCUAGUAAUCGCAGAUCAGCAACGCUGCGGUGAAUACGUUCCCGGG